CUGGAGUAGGUCCCAAGGGUUGGGCUGUUCGCCCAUUAAAGCGGCACGCGAGCUGGGUUCAGAACGUCGCGAGACAGUUCGGUCUCUAUCUGCUGUGGGCGUUGGAAAUUUGAGAGGAGCUGACUUUAGUACGAGAGGACCGAGUUGGACAGCCCUCUAGUGUACCUGUUGUUUCGCCAGAAGCAUUGCAGGGUAGCUACGGCUGGUUGGGAUAAGCACUGAAAGCAUAUAAGUGCGAAGCCCACCUCAAGAUGAGAUUUCCCUUAAGGGUCGUUCGAGAUGAGGACGUUGAUAGGCUUCAGGUGUAAAGGCAGUAAUGUCAUAGCCGAGAAGUACUAAUUACCCGUGGCUUUCUAA
rnacentral:rRNA from 1 species